rnacentral:lncRNA from 1 species
AAGAAUCAGACGUUAACAAAUAUAUACAAACAAAAAACCAAUCGGAUAGUGGCAUAUCGAGGCAGUAGCACUGAUAAUGUUCACCAUGGAACAAAGUUCCAAUUUUCACAAACGUUAUCAGAAUGAGGCCAUUAGAAAGGGGAGCUACUAAGAACAUUAACAUGGCCAGCAAAAUAGGAAAAGUCGCCGGCAAAUCCAACCAAAGCACGGGGUCGCCAGAAUAACAGUGUUUCGGCCAAAGUACAGCGCAACACAGUAACAAUAUGCUGCAAAAGAAAUGAGAAAAAAUGGAGUAACAGUGGCAAGGAUAAAGCACAAAAUCCGGCGAAAGAAAACACAGUCGCAACAAUAUAGCCAAAACAAGAGUCGCCGGCGUUCGUCUUAGUGGGUCCACUUCCACGGCAAAGCACCGGAGCGACGCCUGUAGCGGUGGUCAAAAGCAGCAGUCACCGAAGGUCUCCCUUUUUGGUCAGAUUUGGGCAAAUCUGAAGGUUUCAAGCUGGAAUCAACCGAUUAAAAUGGUGGUCGUCGGUGUUACCCUUUUUUUUGGCGGAUCCGACCAGGUGUUAACAUAUUAAUUCACGGAUUAAAGAAAAAUCAAGGAAGAAGAAGAACAGUAGACGAUG